rnacentral:rRNA from 1 species
GGGAGGCAGCAGUGGGGAAUAUUGCGCAAUGGGCGAAAGCCUGACGCAGCCACGCCGCGUGAGCGAUGAAGGUCUUCGGAUCGUAAAGCACUGUGAGGUGGAACGAGCCGCCGGGGGCUAAUACCCUUCGGCCCGACGGUACCACCAGAGGAAGCACCGGCUAACCCCUGUGCCAGCAGCCGCGGUAAUACAGGGGGUGCAAGCGUUGUUCGGAAUUAUUGGGCGUAAAGCGCGUGUAGGCGGACCAUUAAGUCUGGUGUGAAAUCCCUCGGCUUAACCGAGGACGUGCAUUGGAUACUGGUGGUCUUGAGUCCUGGAGAGGGUAGCGGAAUUCCCAGUGUAGAGGUGAAAUUCGUAGAUAUUGGGAGGAACACCGGUGGCGAAGGCGGCUACCUGGACAGUGACUGACGCUGAGACGCGAAAGCAUGGGUAGCAAACAGGAUUAGAUACCUGGUAGUCCAUGCCGUAAACGAUGGUGCUAGUUGGUGCGGGUAUUGACCCUGCGCUGACGAAGCUAACGCGUUAAG